rnacentral:rRNA from 1 species
GACGAAGCACACAAACGUUAUUCGGAAUUACUGGGCUUAAAGGGUGCGUAGGCGGCGUGGAAAGUUGGGUGUGAAAUCCCUCAGCUUAACUGAGGAACAGCGCCCAAAACUACCAUGCUCGAGGGAGAUAGAGGAAUGCGGAACUUAGGGUGGAGCGGUGAAAUGCGUUGAUAUCCUAGGGAACACCGGUGGCGAAAGCGGCAUUCUGGAUCUCUUCUGACGCUGAGGCACGAAAGCUAGGGUAGCAAACGGG